rnacentral:rRNA from 1 species
UAGAGUUUGAUCCUGGCUCAGGAUGAACGCUGGCGGUCUGCUUAACACAUGCAAGUCGAACGGAAGUAGCAAUACUUUAGUGGCGGACGGGUGAGUAACACGUAAGAAUCUGCCUCCAGGACGGGAAAAACAGUUGGAAACGACUGCUAAUUCCAGAUGAGCCGAAAGGUAAAAAGAGUAUCGCCUGGAGAUGAGCUUGCGGCUGAUUAGCUAGUUGGUGUGGUAAGAGCGCACCAAGGCGACGAUCAGUAGCUGGUCUGAGAGGAUGAGCAGCCACACUGGGACUGAGACACGGCCCAGACUCCUACGGGAGGCAGCAGUGGGGAAUUUUCCGCAAUGGGCGAAAGCCUGACGGAGCAAGACCGCGUGGGGGAGGAAGGUUCUUGGAUUGUCAACCCCUUUUCUCAGGGAAGAAGUUCUGACGGUACCUGAGGAAUAAGCAUCGGCUAACUCCGUGCCAGCAGCCGCGGUAAUACGGAGGAUGCAAGCGUUAUCCGGAAUGAUUGGGCGUAAAGAGUCCGUAGGUGGCUGAUCAAGUCUAUUGUUAAAGAGCGAGGCUUAACUUCGUAAAGGCCGUAGAAACUGAUCAGCUUGAGAGCAGUAGGGGCAGAAGGAAUUCCUGGUGUAGCGGUGAAAUGCGUAGAGAUCAGGAAGAACACCGGUGGCGAAAGCGUUCUGCUGGGCUGCGACUGACACUGAGGGACGAAAGCUAGGGGAGCGAAUGGGAUUAGAUACCCCAGUAGUCCUAGCCGUAAACGAUGGAUACUAGGUGUUGUGAGUAUCGACCCUCACAGUGCCGAAGCCAACGCAUUAAGUAUCCCGCCUGGGGAGUACGCACGCAAGUGUGAAACUCAAAGGAAUUGACGGGGGCCCGCACAAGCGGUGGAGUAUGUGGUUUAAUUCGAUGCAACGCGAAGAACCUUACCAGGGUUUGACAUGUCGGGAAUCUCUUGGAAACGAGAGAGUGCCUUCGGGAGCCCGAACACAGGUGCUGCAUGGCUGUCGUCAGCUCGUGUCGUGAGAUGUUGGGUUAAGUCCCGCAACGAGCGCAACCCUCGUCGUUAGUUGCCAGCAAGAAAGAUGGGAACUCUAGCGAGACUGCCGGUGACAAACCGGAGGAAGGUGGGGAUGACGUCAAGUCAGCAUGGCCCUUACAUCCUGGGCGACACACGUACUACAAUGCUAGGGACAAAGAGCAGCGACUUCGCGAGGAGAAGCGAAUCUCAGAAACCCUGGCUCAGUUCAGAUUGCUCUCUGCAACUCGAGAGCAUGAAGGAGGAAUCGCUAGUAAUCGCAGGUCAGCAUACUGCGGUGAAUCCGUUCCCGGGCCUAGUACACACCGCCCGUCACACCAUGGAAGUUUGCCACGCCCGAAGUCAUUACUCUAACUCUUAGGAGAGGAGGGUGCCGAAGGCAGGGCUGAUGACUGGGGUGAAGUCGUAACAAGGUAGCCGUACCGGAAGGUGUGGCUGGAUCACCUCCUUUUUAGGGAGACCUACUUCAAGUUGUGGUGUCAGUCCCAACAAAAUUAGCACCCCUUGAAGUCAUCCCAAGGUCGUUACGAGAACAAAGGUAUUAGCUUUCUGACUCUUAAUAGUUAAGGUGUUCAAAUCGGACAAUUCAGCACCGAGCCAAACACUCGAAUGCUGGACAACCUUGUCCAGACAGAACCUUGAAAAUUGCAUAGAAAAAGGGAAGGUGUUCGUAAUUAGAAACCCUUUUGGGGAAUCUAAUCACAAACAAUUCAAACAAAAAUGUGGUCAAGCUACAAAGGGCUGACGGUGGAAACCUAGGCACACAGAGGCGAAGA